rnacentral:rRNA from 1 species
AAACACGCUGGCGGCGUGCUAACACAUGCAAGUCGCACGAGAAAGCGGGGGCAACUCCGCAAGUACAGUGGCGAACGGGUGAGUAACACGUGACUAACCUGCCCUCCAGUGGGGAAUAACCUCGGGAAACCGGGGCUAAUACCGCAUAACAUCCGCGGGUGCAAGUCCUGCGGAUCAAAGGAGCAAUUCGCUGGAGGAGGGGGUCGCGGCUGAUUAGCUAGUUGGUGAGGUAACGGCCCACCAAGGCGAUGAUCAGUAGCCGGCCUGAGAGGGCGCACGGCCACACUGGAACUGAAACACGGUCCAGACUCCUACGGGAGGCAGCAGUGGGGAAUUUUGCGCAAUGGGGGAAACCCUGACGCAGCAACGCCGCGUGGAGGAUGAAGUCCCUUGGGACGUAAACUCCUUUCGACCGGGACGAAUGAUGACGGUACCGGUGGAAGAAGCCCCGGCUAACUCCGUGCCA